rnacentral:rRNA from 1 species
AACACAUGCAAGUCGAGCGGUAAGGUCCUUCGGGAUACACGAGCGGCGAACGGGUGAGUAACACGUGAGCAAUCUGCCCUUCUCAUCGGAAUAACCAUUGGAAACGAUGGCUAAUGCCGAAUAUGACCUCGGAUCACAUGUUCUGAGGUGGAGAGCUCCGGCGGAGAAGGAUGAGCUCGCGGCCUAUCAGCUUGUUGGUGAGGUAAUAGCUCACCAAGGCGAUGACGGGUAGCCGGCCUGAGAGGGUGACCGGCCACACUGGGACUGAGACACGGCCCAGACUCCUACGGGAGGCAGCAGUGGGGAAUAUUGGACAAUGGGCGAAAGCCUGAUCCAGCAACGCCGCGUGAGGGAUGACGGCCUUCGGGUUGUAAACCUCUUUCAGCAGGGACGAAGCGAAAGUGACGGUACCUGCAGAAGAAGGACCGGCCAA